ACACCGCAGACCAGUUUGGGUGCAGUGAGGCUCACAGAGGGCAGAUGAGGAAGGGGAGGUUGGAAAGGCGGGCCGGGGUCUGAGGGCAGAGGCCUCAACCACGGGGUGCAGGAGGAGGUCAGGCUUCUGAGCACAUGGAGGAGCAAAGGGAGUUCAGAGUGAUGUCAUAAAAUCAGUAUUUGGGGAGAUGACUCUGGCAGCUGCACGCAGGACUGGCUGGGGAAGGGAGCACAGGAGACCUGGCAGAGCAGCCAGGAGGCAACUGCAAUAAUUCAAGCAGGUGGUGAGAGGGGCCGGCGAGCCACUGCCUCCCCGGCAGAAUCACGCUUCUGGCAGCAACCGUCUCUACGACAGCGGGAGCGCCAUCAAGGGCAACACUCGGCGACUGUCCCCAUUAGACUGCACCUCCAAUGUCCACCAGUCCUCCCGCCUGACAGCCGGUGCUGGCUAUGCCCGGCACCGGUUUCCUGCAAGUGGCCACCUUCCCCCUCCUGGAUCCCGCCAGGGCUGAGCCAGUCCAUUUUUAGAUGACAGCUCCCAUAGUACACUCUCCCUUAAAGGAGAUAAACAGGGAUGAGGCGGGGUGGGGGGUGGGGGCGCAGGGAGAGAGCUUCCACGGCUGAGCGCACUGUCCCAAAGAGGUAUCUUCCCAAUGAUUUCAUAAGGCACUAUGUUGACAUGACACUGAAGACUACGAUAAAAAGGAGGUGGAGAAAAAAGUAUGAAAGAAAGGACUGGAGGGUUCAAGCCACAUUAAAACCACGAUGAGAGCAGGCUGCUUCCUAGGAGCCCACUGUGCGCCGUGCCGUGUCUGGGGCAUAAGGACAGAGACACAGGAAGAAACACCAUCGUAAGAGGGGGUGCCACAGGCCUCAAGAGAAGGGACACUAAGAGCUGGAACCAGAGGACUGCAAGGGAAGAAGCCUCAGCCGCCCGUCUUGAGGCCAGGAUGUCUCAGGGCCAGCCCCCUGCCCUCUGAGGCACCGGCCCCAUUCUCCAGAUAGGACAACAUCAGCCUGGAAGGUGCUGCCAGAGGCAGACAAGAAGAAGAGGGUUAACAGUAAUGACUUAGGUUGUUUCACAGUUACCACGGGCUUGGCAUCGUGUUCUCAAGUGCUCUACACGUCCUAUCUCUUUACUCCUGCCAGAACCCCAAGAAAUGCUCAGUACCAUGGUGUCCCAUUUUACAGAGAAGAACGGAGACAGGAUGAGGAGGUAACCUGGCUACCAGGAAGUUAGAGAGCUAAAAUUUAAUUCCAGGUUGAAAAAGCUACGCUCUUAACUGCCACAUCGAAGGCUGGGAGACGCCUUAGACUCAGCACUCUUCCAAGAUCAAGUGUUCCUUGAAAGAUGGUCACGCAAGGGCAGGUUGCUUUUGGAGCUGUCCUCAUGCCAUUCCAUGCAGUAAUAAAUAACAAUUUCAUUUUACUCAAGAUACUAGACUACUCUAAAUAAUGCAUACGUAUAUACAGAUUAAUUACUUAUACAUGUUAAUAUAUGGUUAUACUGUAUAACAGAAUAUGUCAUUGUAAUACAUAAAUAUAUCAAAUGAGUAUACAUAUGUGCACAUAUAUCUCUAGUCUUACAACAUCCUCAUUAGGCAGAUACUAAGUUCUCUCUUUUCCAAAUGAGAAAGCGAAUGAAAAGAGUUCGUGCAACUUCCCCAAGGGCUCACAGCUGUGAAAAGCCAGGAUUUGAACCCUGACAGCUUUGUUCCCAAGUCAUCCUCUUGAUGCCCCACUCCACUGCUCACACUGGCUUCCUCUGACUCAACUACAAAUUCAGAGCACAGUUCGAGGCUUCUAGGUGCUCUCUAUGCCCACACCAUGCCCAGCCCCGAUGCCGAAUCCUUUGUAGGUGCCUUGAUAAAUGCCUACUAAUGAACAAACAGGUGCCUCCUGCACUAUUUAUAGCUCCCAGCAUGGCCAACUGGCUAUAAUCAGCACAGCCUCCCUCAGGACACGGCUAAAUUAAACCGGUGGGAUUAGAAGCAACAGCCUCACACAGCACCUCUGGACACCUCCAGCAAAGAGCACUGGUGCUGCACAGGAGUCCCAGCCAGUGGCCUUUCUCUUGGAUGGUGCCCUGAUCCAAGGGUUUCCCAAUGGCCUCUAGUGGCCUGAUCUCAAUUCUGGGGGCUGAUUUCUCCUGGGACCCCCUAAUAAAGUCAAAAGUAGAUGAGUAAUCCCUCUCUUUGAGGGUCGGGAAGCCAGGAUUCUGGUCCUGGCUUUGCCUAUGAUCAGCCCAAUGGCCAAGAGACUCCACUUGUCUGGCUUUCAGUUUUGCCUCUUGAAACGCAGAGGCCAGGACAGGUCCAUUUCUGAAGUCCCUCCGGGGCAUUUUGCAUAUGUCAAGUGGCCACCGCUGGUGCUGUCCUGGGGCUGAGAUAGAUCCCAGGAGGCUGUAGAGAAGGGCCUAGGGAAGGUGCAGGCCACCCACAAGGGAGGGCUCUGACCUGAGAGCCUGCUGUGACUUCUCAGCACACCGCGCUGUCAACCUUUUCUUUAAUGAUCUGUGCAACUGCUCAACCGCCAUCGUUGCAUAAAAGCAGCCACAGAAGAUAUGUAAAUGAAUGCACAUGGCUACGUUCUAAUAAAACUUUAUGUAUACACA